CAACUGGGCAGAGGCAUCCUCUUCCUGUCAUUAUUGAAUGAACCUGGCCCACAUCUGACCAGUCUCCAAAGAUUCACACUAAUAGCAAAGAAGUGGAGCAUUCGAGAUGGAAAUUAAAGAGACUAGACCCAAAGAAUCUAUGCAUGAGAUUCCAAGGCACUAUCAGAACGAUGUUUACAGUUCAGGACUACCACUUUUCUUGCAGCAGCUGGAACCAGUAAACUCCACUGUCACAAGUUACCAGGAGCAGAUCUUGGAUGCCUGCACACCAUCGGCCUGUGUGGCCAGUGUGACAUCAUGCACAUUGUAUGACAUCCUGCCUUCUGCACCUGAAAGUCCUUCUUAGAAGUCCAGAAGCCAGGAGACAAGGUCAGAGAUUGUCUGCAUCAUUUCCCCAGAGGCCAAGAAGAAUUAAGUCUCAGCGUCCAACAAGAGUCCCCUGAAAGUGUUUGGGCACUGUCUGGGCUGUGGCUAAGCCCCAUGAAUUGAGUAAUAAUUUCUGAGCAAAUGCUUAAAUGCCUCUUUGUAAUUCUCCAUUGCCUUCUACCAUGAGCAGAAAAGAGCUCCUUGAGCCCAUCUACUGGGCAAGUGGCAUUUGACUGUGGGAAUCUUCUCUUCCAGUUCAAUUAAUGUUUAUAUUUUUUGCUGGUUAUUACCUAGAUAUUAUCCAUGGAAUGUUUUCAUGACUGUGUAAGCACUGAAAUAUUAUCAAAAUUAAUGGUUGGGGGUGGUGAGAGUUCUGAAUAUCAAAAUAAAUAAGCAAUAUUAAUUUUGGAAAAAUAUAA